GAAGAGGGCUGGGUCUUAGUCACGCCAGCGAGGAGGCGACCAAUGGUGACUGAGAUGGGCGUGCUGGGGAAGUCGGGCUCAGACCUCAGCAGGUCGCGGAGAGAAGGGGGAAUGAACUCUUCGAGAGGACUGUCAUGGCUGUUCGGCCAUUCUCAGAUUUCCCCUUGAGACAGGAAAGCUGGUCGUCAGGCCAUGGAAAGCGCUACAAUCAGGGCUCUAGAGCUGUGCUUAAGAUAGACCCUUGAGUACAUUGGCGGAUUAAAAUUAUUCACAAAGGAAUCCUUUUGCUUAAUAGAGACACCUUGAAUGUUAGGGUCGGAAUGAUGACAAUAGCAGGAAUAGAGGAUCAGCUUGGAAGUCAAAGGGGAAUUGAUACGUAUGUCUUGUGAUAGUCUGGCCAUGGUCUGAAAGGAAGAAGAGCUAGAAAUUAGAAGCCACAGAAAUUUGGGAUGUCCUCAAAACCCAUUCCUGGCAGAGUGACAAUAUUUAUUGUCUAUGAAACACAAUAAAUCCAGCCCAUCAUGCAAAAUGAUAGAGGAGACCUGACACAUCUUCAUUUUGCCUUUACUGAGCGGGUAUCCACAGAGACAGGUGGUUAUCUGACAGUUCCUGUGCAGAAGUCCACAGAAGGCAGGAAAGAAGGGGCCAGGAGUAAAUCAGGUGCCUCAUAUGAAGA
rnacentral:lncRNA from 10 species